AUUUAAGUAGUUUAUUAAAAAUACUGGUUUGUGGAGCCGGAGAUAUAGGCUUUCUAUCUUAGAUA
rnacentral:tRNA from 1 species